UUUCUAUUUUUCUCCAGGUUGUUGGUCUUAAUGUCUCAUCAGCCACUACCCCUGAGCUAUUAUUAAAGAGGUUUGAUCAUUACUGUGAGUACAAGAGGACUCCCAAAGGAGUUGUGAUGGCUCCUUCUCAACUCGGAAAGUGGCUGGUUCUCUUCUGUGACGAGAUUAACCUUCCAGACCUUGACAAAUAUGAUUGUCGAGCACAGUGGAUUUUACAGGAUCUCUGAUCACACGUGGGUGACAAUAGAGAGGAUACAGUUUGUAGGAGCGUGUAACCCACCGACUGACCGGGGAAGGAAACCACUGUCUCACAGCUGUGAAGGAAUUUAAGAAAUCCCACCUGGUUGAAGUGAGGGCUCUGAACAACCCCAUCAGGUCAUCAAGAUGGCACUGGAAAGCAUCUGCAUGCUAAUGGGAGAACCUUACACUGACUGGAAGAGUAUCAGACAGAUUAUAAUGAAGGAGAACUUUAUAUCACACUACGUGGGAAUAUUUUCGGAUUUUUUUAGAGCUAAGAACCCUGUCAGGAAGCACUCUCAUUAUUUCAUACUCAAUCCCUCUAGGACGUUGAGAGCUACAACCCAAUCCUGAACCAUGUCCUAUCCUAGGCGACAACAGUGAAAGUGAUUACAAUACCGAGUUUGAUUGCUUCCUAUGAGGUAAGGACUCGUUGGGUAUGGACUCCUCAGUCCCAGAGAUGAAGGGACUCACUAAAGACCAGGUUCUGUCAAUGCAUCAUCUCUCGAAGCAGCUGA